GAUGAACGCUGGCGGUAUGCUUAACACAUGCAAGUCGAACGGACUCUUCGGAGUUAGUGGCGGACGGGUGAGUAACGCGUGAGAAUCUGGCUUUGGGUUCGGGACAACCACUGGAAACGGUGGCUAAUACCGGAUGUGCCGAGAGGUAAAAGAGAAAUUGCCUGAAGAUGAGCUCGCGUCUGAUUAGCUAGUUGGUGAGGUAAAGGCUCACCAAGGCAGCGAUCGGUAGCUGGUCUGAGAGGAUGACCAGCCACACUGGGACUGAGACACGGCCCAGACUCCUACGGGAGGCAGCAGUGGGGAAUUUUCCGCAAUGGGCGAAAGCCUGACGGAGCAAUACCGCGUGAGGGAAGAAGGCUCUUGGGUUGUAAACCUCUUUUCUUAGGGAAGAACAAAAUGACGGUACCUAAGGAAUCAGCAUCGGCUAACUCCGUG
rnacentral:rRNA from 1 species